AUUGAACGCUGGCGGCAGGCCUAACACAUGCAAGUCGAGCGAGCGGCGGACGGGUGAGUAAUGUAUGGGGACUGCCCGAUAGAGGGGGAUAACUACUGGAAACGGUGGCUAAUACCGCCUACUAUCGGAUAACCCAUAUUGGAUUAGCUAGUAGGGGGGGUAAAGGCUCACCUAGGCUACGAUCUCUAGCUGGUCUGAGAGGAUGAUCAGCAACACGGGGACUGAGAGACGGCCAAGACGCUGACGGAGGCAGGAGUGGGGAAUAGUGCACAAUGGGGGCAAGCGUGAUGUAGCCAGGGCGCGUGUAGGAAGAAGGCCGUAGGGUUGUAAAGGACUUUCAGCGGGUAGGCGUUACACGCAGUAGAAGCACAGGCUAACGCCGUGCCAGCAGCCGCGGUAAUAC
rnacentral:rRNA from 1 species